GGGUCGAUGGCGUAGUUGGUUAUCGCAUCUGUCUAACAACACCAAACAUCGUCUAAAAUUGUGACACAGAAGGUCCUCAAGUGCGAGCCUGGGUUGACUCA